CGGGGCGUGGCGCAGUUUGGUUAGCGCGCUUGACUGGGGGUCAAGAGGCCGCUGGUUCGAAUCCAGUCGCCCCGA
rnacentral:tRNA from 1 species